GUGCGUCAGCUGCGGCGAGUGAAGCGGCAAGAGCUCAGAUUUGAAAUCGUGUUUCGGCACGAGUUGUAAAUUGCAGGUUGGAGUCUUUGUGGAGGCGGGUGUCUAAGUCCCUUGGAACAGGGCGCCAUUGAGGGUGAGAGCCCCGUGAGACGCUUGCCGAAGCUUUAAGACCCUUCUGACGAGUCGAGUUGUUUGGGAAUGCAGCUCCAAGUGGGUGGUAAAUUCCAUCUAAGGCUAAAUACUGGCGAGAGACCGAUAGCGAACAAGUACUGUGAAGGAAAGAUGAAAAGCACUUUGAAAAGAGAGUGAAACAGCACGUGAAAUUGUUGAAAGGGAAGGGUAUUGGGCUCGACAUGGGAUUUGCGCACCGCUGCUCCUUGUGGGCGGCGCUCUGUGCUUUUCCUGGGCCAGCAUCGGUUCUUGCUGCAGGAGAAGGGGUUCUGGAAUGUGGCUCCUCGGAGUGUUAUAGCCAGGGCCAGAUGCUGCGUGCGGGGACCGAGGACUGCGACAUCUGUCACGGAUGCUGGCACAACGGCGCAAUACCGCCCGUCUUGAAACACGGGACCAGCA
rnacentral:rRNA from 1 species